CCCAGGCCGAAACUGUACUGUCUCCGUUUCCCAAGGCCGAAGGAGUAGUCGCGCCCUCUCUGGAAUAAUAAAUGUUUCGAGAAUGGGUUUGAGGAUCGUUAUGCUUACUAUUGCUCCACAAUGGAUAUGGAGAUUUUAAUAAUUGUGAUAUUCUCACCUUGUUAUCAUUGGUAUCGAUCCAACGCUUUCCAAUACCAAAGUUGUAGACGGGUAGCCUCUUAUACUCGGAAACGUAAGUGUACGCUCUUUUUUCAGGCACGGUAUCGUCGAACGCCAUAGGAUUCAACAUAUUGUUAUAAUGUUGAAGAUUCAUAGACGAGGCUGGUGUUUCUUCCAUGGCUAAGGCUGACCUUCCCACGAUCCCAACGAAAUAGAGGAAAGCCAAGCUCGAUGUCAGAACGCUUAUCCUGGUCCUCAUUCUGUACCUUGCCUCUUUUUAAGCCUGAUUUCAA